rnacentral:rRNA from 1 species
AUGACACUUAUCAAACACCUUUCUUUCCACUUUGCAUUCUUUAGUUUUCAUCGUCAACGACCUCAACAUGAAGCAAGAUAUGUUCAUAGCUAUGGCGGCGGCGAGAAGCAUGAGACCGUCCAGGGACUCCGAGUGGCGCUGAAGCGGACAGACAUAACAGAGCUGAACUUGGUGGUGCCAGAGCGGGGCUCCUGCAUGCUCGCGGUCAGAUCUGACAAUUUUUAUUUAUUAGCUUACACAAAUGAUUUGUUCGAGUGGCAGGCCUUCCUCGGCAAGGAUGACUUGGUUCCAACAUCCACGCCACUCCCGUUCACUUCCGACUACAAUGAACAAAGGUAUGGGGCUCCGUUCCAGCUGAGCAGGGCGGAGGUUGGAGAGGUUAUAACGCUCCUCGGAACUUGUGUCGAAGCUCUAGCCCAUGCUGAAGGUGGAUGUGAUUGA